rnacentral:Y_RNA from 1 species
GGCUGGUCCGACGUGGUGAGUUACCUCGAUUGUUCACAGUCAGUUACAGAUUGAACUCCUUGUUCUGCCCUUUCCCCGCUCUCACUGCUGCACUUGACUAGUCUAAU